CCUACGGGGGGCAGCAGUGAGGAAUAUUGGUCAAUGGGCGCGAGCCUGAACCAGCCAAGUAGCGUGAAGGAUGACUGCCCUACGGGUUGUAAACUUCUUUUAUAAAGGAAUAAAGUGAGGCACGUGUGCCUUUUUGUAUGUACUUUAUGAAUAAGGAUCGGCUAACUCCGUUCCAGCAGCCGCGGUAAUGCGGGGGAUCCGAGGGUUAUCCGGAUUUAUUGGGUUUAAAGGGAGCGUAGAGGGGUUGUUACGUCAGCGGUCAUAUGUCGGGGCUAAACCCCGGCCUGCCGUUGAAACUGGCGGCCUCGAGUGGGCGAGAAGUAUGCGGAAUGCGUGGUGUAGCGGUGAAAUGCAUAGAUAUCACGCAGAACUCCGAUGGCGAAGGCAGCAUACCGGCGCCCGACUGACGCUGAGGCACGAAAGCGUGGGUAUCGAACAGGAUUAGAUACCCUAGUAGUC
rnacentral:rRNA from 1 species